rnacentral:miRNA from 12 species
AGAGAGGUUAUCCUUCGUGUGUU